GCCGCGUGAGUGAGAAGGCCUUAGGGUUGUAAAGCUCUUUUAUUUGGGAUGAUAAUGACAGUACCGGGAGAAUAAGCCCCGGCUAAUGUGCCAGCAGCCGCGGUAAUACGGAGGGGGCUAGCGUUGUUCGGAAUUACUGGGCGUAAAGCGCACGUAGGCGGCUUUGUAAGUUAGAGGUGAAAGCCCGGGGCUCAACUCCGGAAUUGCCUUUAAGACUGCAUCGCUAGAAUUGUGGAGAGGUAAGUGGAAUUCCGAGUGUAGAGGUGAAAUUCGUAGAUAUUCGGAAGAACACCAGUGGCGAAGGCGACUUACUGGACACAUAUUGACGCUGAGGUG
rnacentral:rRNA from 1 species